rnacentral:rRNA from 1 species
UACGUAGGGCGCAAGCGUUGUCCGGAAUUAUUGGGCGUAAAGAGCUCGUAGGUGGCGUGUCGCGUCUGCCGUGAAAGCCCAUGGCUUAACUGUGGGUCUGCGGUGGAUACGGGCAGGCUGGAGGCUGGUAGGGGCAAGCGGAAUUCCUGGUGUAGCGGUGAAAUGCGUAGAUAUCUGGAGGAACACCGGUGGCGAAGGCGGCAUCCUGGACCAACACUGACACUGAGCAGCGAAAGCCAGGGGAGCAAACGGG